AAAUUGAAGAGUUUGAUCAUGGCUCAGAUUGAACGCUGGCGGCAGGCCUAACACAUGCAAGUCGAACGGUAACAGGAAGCAGUUUGCUGCUUCGCUGACGAGUGGCGGACGGGUGAGUAAUGUCUGGGAAACUGCCUGAUGGAGGGGGAUAACUACUGGAAACGGUGGCUAAUACCGCAUAACGUCGCAAGACCAAAGAGGGGGACCUUCGGGCCUCUUGCCAUCAGAUGUGCCCAGAUGGGAUUAGCUUGUU
rnacentral:rRNA from 1 species